rnacentral:rRNA from 1 species
GACGAACGCUGGCGGCGUGCUUAACACAUGCAAGUCGAACGCUGAAGCCCAGCUUGCUGGGUGGAUGAGUGGCGAACGGGUGAGUAACACGUGAGUAACCUGCCCCCUUCUUUGGGAUAACGCCCGGAAACGGGUGCUAAUACUGGAUAUUCACUUGCCUUCGCAUGGGGGUUGGUGGAAAGGUUUUUCUGGUGGGGGAUGGGCUCGCGGCCUAUCAGCUUGUUGGUGGGGUGAUGGCCUACCAAGGCUUUGACGGGUAGCCGGCCUGAGAGGGUGACCGGUCACAUUGGGACUGAGAUACGGCCCAGACUCCUACGGGAGGCAGCAGUGGGGAAUAUUGCACAAUGGGCGAAAGCCUGAUGCAGCGACGCCGCGUGAGGGAUGGAGGCCUUCGGGUUGUAAACCUCUUUCGCUCAUGGUCAAGCCGCAGCUUUGGGUUGUGGUGAGGGUAGCGGGUAAAGAAGCGCCGGCUAACUACGUGCCAGCAGCCGCGGUAAUACGUAGGGCGCGAGCGUUGUCCGGAAUUAUUGGGCGUAAAGGGCUUGUAGGCGGUUGGUCGCGUCUGCCGUGAAAUCCUCUGGCUUAACUGGGGGCGUGCGGUGGGUACGGGCUGACUUGAGUGCGGUAGGGGAGACUGGAACUCCUGGUGUAGCGGUGGAAUGCGCAGAUAUCAGGAAGAACACCGGUGGCGAAGGCGGGUCUCUGGGCCGUUACUGACGCUGAGGAGCGAAAGCGUGGGGAGCGAACAGG